GCGCUUGAGGCGACGGCGGAGGAGCCACUCUUGCCGGCUGCAGCGACUACUUCAAGUGGAGGUGGAGCGAAGCAGCGGGUUCACGCCAGGCCGGGCCCAGGACAAUGACUUUAGGGGUGCCGUGCCCUGCAUAUUUCGUCGGGGAGAAGAUGUGUUCAUUGCUGAAACUGGAUACAAGGGUGCUUCCUUCUUUCAAGAUAUUGACGAAGCCUGGCAACUAUAGAUUUUCCUCAGCACAAGUGCAAGCAGAUCUUAAUCAAUGUCACUCCAGUUGAUGAUGUUAUGAAGCUUCCUUCAGUAACUGAAUGAGAGAGAUGGAGGCACUGGAGAAGAAAGGGCACAGAUCCUUGGCCAAACCAGUGAAUCCCCCCUACAAUACCCCAUCUAGGCACAAGCGUUCCAAAAGCGAUUUAGAGGAGAAAAAUGCAAGGAUGCAUAGCCUUCUUCGCAGAAAGUUUCUAAUCACCCAAAGCCAAAUGGUAGGAACUCAAACUCUCGUCUGCAGAACGAAACCAACAAGGGAAUCCAUCCCAAGAGUGACACGCAAGACAUCCUAAGAAAAGAGACAGGAAGCAAUUCUUUUUUUUUCUGUUCUUACUAGCUCACAUGCAGAAGAAAUCAGAGACUGCAUCUUGAAAGAAUUGUUACAACAUUUUCAUUUCUGGAUGCACCCAGCAUUUUGGUCUAAUGGGAUGACGAUGAUCUGAUGUAGAUUGUGCAGAUGGAGAGGCACCUUGACCAUCAGCAAACGGUGCACGGCGCACUGAAGAAAGCGUUGGGUCCUAACUCUGCUCAGUUACUCUAUUCAAUGAGAGGGCAAUCCUCAAGCCAACUAACCAACUGAUAAGGGAGGUUGCCACACUGGAGCUGGAGAUCAAGCACCUGGAGUAGUACCUCAUAACAUUGUACAUGAAAGCAUUUGAGGAAGCACCUACAUUGAGUUCACGGUCUGCGGUGCUCGAGGAAACACCAAAGGCAAAGGCGACUGUCGAAAGAGGUAGUGAUGCAAUGCUCCAUUGCAGCUGCCUCCCCUUAGCAAGAGGAGGAAUGGCACAUGGAGGAUUCCUCUCCGUCCAAAUGCCCAACGAAGGGUCGAUGGUCAUGAAUCAAAGUUAACUUCCUCUCUACUUAUCAUUUAACUGCGACAAAGAAUUUGAGCCAGCACCAAUACAACUGUCUGAUGCUUUGCAAAGUAGGCAUUA